AGUUUGUUGUUAAUGCAGCCCAAAGAUGCCUGUCACUGCCACCUACAGACUUCAUUGCUACUGGGGAGCAUCUUUUCAGACUCUAUCUAGCAUGUACACCAAGGAAAGGCCAUGUGAAGACCUAGCAAGGUGGCCGUCUGCAAGCAAGGAAGAGAGCUCUCACUGGAAACUUAAUUGGCCAGAACCUUGAUCUUGGACUUUCCAGCCUCCUGAACUGGCCACAGGAAACUUCAAGGUCAGCUGGGAAAUGUCCUCUUCAGUGGAGAAGUCAUGUAUCCUAAAACUUAG